GCCGGCUGUUCCCCAUUGAAGAAAAUGGUCGAAGAUUUUGCAGUCAAUCUUUGGCCAUACUGCAAACAGAAGCCGAACAGCGAGCAGAGAUUAGGGCAAAGCCAGGUCCAGUGAGCCCCUUCACCUUGCCCCGGAGAAACUAAGAAAGCAUGUUGUUCAUAAAACGAAGGUGGUGGCCACCUCUCCUCCCUCCCUUUCCUCCUCCUUCCAUACUUUCCUCAUAUUCUUCCUCGUCGGCCGCC
rnacentral:lncRNA from 1 species